CCUACGGGUGGCAGCAGUGGGGGAUAUUGGACAAUGGGGAAACCCUGAUCCAGCGACGCCGCGUGAGUGAAGAAGUAUUUCGGAUCGUAAAACCCUGUUGUUAGAGAAGAAAGUGCGUGAGAGUAACUGUUCACGUUUCGACGGUAUCUAACCAGAAAGCCACGGCUAAAUACGUGCCAGCAGCCGCGGGAAUACGUAGGUGGCAAGCGUUAUCCGGAUUUAUUGGGCGUAAAGGGAACGCAGGCGGUCUUUUAAGUCUGAUGUGAAAGCCUUCGGCUUAACCGGAGUAGUGCAUUGGAAACUGGGAGACUUGAGGGCAGAAGAGGAGAGUGGAACUCCAUGUGUAGCGGUGAAAUGCGUAGAUAUAUGGAAGAACACCAGUGGCGAAGGCGGCUCUCUGGUCUGUAACUGACGCUGAGGUUCGAAAGCGUGGGUAGCAAACAGGAUUAGAUACCCGUGUAGUC
rnacentral:rRNA from 1 species